AGUUUAAUAAAGAGCCUGGUCACUGGCCAUCUUGUGUCCGCAACUGCAGAAGACGCCCCGAUGUGGCGUUUGUACAGCUUUGCCAAAAAAUGAUUUUCUACUCUCAAAAAUGACCCAAGCCAAUAAAUAGCAUUAGUAGCUUCUGUUGGGGGGAGGGAGUGGGGGGGCCAGAGCCCCUGUAUUUAUUUUCCCUGUGUUUGUCUCUCUGGUGUCCUCCUAAACAGCCUUUCUUGUGAGUCUUUCUCAGAAUUGAUAUCUUAAUAUUGUCUGUUCUAGGUGUUGCCCAAAUUCAGUGUCAGUGAAGUUCUUUUCCUGGGCAAUCUUAACAUCUUUACUUUUACUGUCUGGAUCUUCAAAGGGCUUUGUAUUUUGCACCUGCGCCCCCAGGCUGCUCAUAGUCGGCUUCCUGCCUGUCCGUAGAUCAUGUCUCUCUUGGGCCUAAGGAGUGGAGGCUGAGGACUCAGUGCUGGUUUGUUCAUGGUGAGGGGAACUGGGGGGCAUCCCAGAGUGCUACCUCCAGGCCUGCUUCUUGGUUUUGUUUGAUCGCUGCAUCCUUCAAGGGAUGAAUCCAGAGCUCUCCAUGAGGCCAGGCUUGUCCUUCAAUCAUGUUUCCUCUCAGAUGCGUCCAUGAUGCCUCCUAAUGUGGAACUGGUUGUUCAUUGUUUGGGCCGGUGGCCAAGUCACCCAGCUGUGGAAGCAGAGGUAGAAGACAAGGCCAGCCAGGAGGGCAACUUCAGUCACAGCUCCCAUGCCUCAGCUUUGCACCUGUUUUCAAAAGCACAACUGAGGUGUGCGGCCUGGGGCUGUCUUACAGUGACUCUGGCCUUCUGGCUCACGUUUCGGUCCAGCAGCCUGGCUGACCCACUAUUUCUCCUCUGCUUCAGAGAGGAAACCCAGGAGACGCCCUGACCGCCAGACUGAGUCUCUGCCCAUGCUGGCUGGUGCUGGCUAGGCUGAGGGGGUCACCACUUCUCCCGGCUCUAGAAGCUAUUUGACCCUUGACGUUUGAGUUCUGUAAGUCUUUCUGUUCUGACUAUUGCUUCGGAGAGAUUGGCCUGUCCCCUUUCCCUUUCUUGGCUGUGGGAAGGAAGGAAGAGCAAAGUGCUCAUUGGUUCCCUUCAUCAGUGACAGCAUGAGACAGAAUUCAUCAUUCCUUCUGAAACCCCUCAGGUUUAGUUAAAUUUAAUAUUUAAAAACCCAAAUUAUCAAACCAUUAAAAACUCAUUACUGGUUCUCAGCCUCCCCCAGUAGUAGCCUCAGUGUGGCUGCUGCGUAAGUAUCUGUAGCCUGUCUACCUCCUGCAGCGGGGCUGCCCGCCGCUUCCCUGUCUACUGCUCAGGCUCUCCCACUUCGUGGCAUCCAUGUAAAGUAGCUGGCAGAAGAGAGAUGUCACCCUCAUUCAACAGACGGGAUGUGUGUUGCUCAGAGAGGUUAUCCUGAGGGGCUGGGUGAUUCCCUGGCCUACAUUCUUCCCGAGGCUCCAGGCCACUGUCUUCGGGAGUAAAAGAGCCUUGUCUGACCUUAAUGCAGGCAGUCUGUUUGAACCCCUGUAGGCUGCAUUCAGGAGACAGAAGGUGUCUGGGCCAUCCUGGAUGGCCGGUCAGCAUUGCUAGGCAGGCUCGGCUAUGUGGCUGGGACUCAGGCCUGGGUGGCUUUUGAGACCAGUGAAGGGAGAGCCGGCCUCCUGCCCAUGCAGGCUUGUGACACAGCUGGGAUAUGAGGGAGGACUCAGAUCUACACACAGAAAUGCCUCUUUUCCCUGCCCUCCCCCAGCUCCCACCUGCCUCCCACACCUCAGGUGUGGCUGCCCGUGGGACCGUCCCUCAACCCCUUUCCUCGCACCUCCUCGUCUUCACCCAGUUUCUGCAGUGUCUCUGACCCACACCUCCCGCCUCCUGGCCGACUUGCCCAGGCAGUGGCUCUGGCUCACCUCAAUCUGUUCAUCACCUUCCUCCCCAGUGUUGCCAUUUAUCUCAGAUGUUUUAGAUUGAAACAGCCUGAUUCCCAGAAGAAUCCUCUUCAUUCAUUGCUAGUGCUUCCCCUCACCUCCCACUCUCCACUUCCCAGUUUGCAAAUGUGGCUUUCGCCCACCAAGUGAAAGUGGACUGAGAGCAGCCCUUGGGGACAGCCCGGUGCCUGGCUGCAAGGCCGCGCUGGGGCUGUCUUGCUGGCGCACGUGGCUUGACUGGACUUUCCCUGCUUCCCACCACUUCCCUCACUCCCAGACCUCCCUCAUUCUUUUUGUCUCUUCUUUUUGCCUAAAGCCAGCCCUUAACACCCUAUUCUUCCUCAGCAAAUGGUUUGCAGACUAGCUGGAAAGGGCAGCUGGUGUUAAGAAUGCAGGUUACCGGGCAUGACCCAGCAGAUGCUUGCCCAGUAGUUCUAGAGAAGGCCCAGGAAUCUGCAAAUGAGCACAUUCCCCAGGCAGUUCCCAUGCAGGUGAUCAACGGACCACAUGUUGAGAAACCGCAGUCACCCUUAGGGCCACACUGUCCCUGUCCCCACUGUCCCCUCUCUGUAGUGACCUCCAGCCCUGCCCUUCAGGAGUGCACUUCCCACUCUACUAGGAAGCCCUAUGGCAUCCUCAGGCUCCCAAGACCCGCAGCCUGCUCUGGGUCCCUCCCUCCUUCCACACCCACCCUCCGUAUGAUCCCCUGCUCCGCCCUUGUGCUUGGCUGCCCCCUGCCCGCUACUCUCAAGACACCCAGGGGUGGUGGGCCCUCACUGGCCGGCCCCUCCCAGCACUGUCCUCUGCCAUCGAGACACCACAAUGCAGCCAGAUUUACCUUCCAGUAACAUACUUCUAGUCACCCCUCCUCCUGCGAAGUGAUCUGCAAUGGCUGUUUGACCAGAGCACCAAGUUCACACCUCCUGAGCUUGAUGUCUGUGGCUGUCCACCUCCCAGCCAUACUUGGCUGUCCCCAAAUGCUCCCUGUGGCCACACGUUUCCCAUGACCUGUGGGCUCCGCAGACGGACCUCUCUCCGCUAGAGAUGCCCUUCUCCCAAAUGACUUCCCUCCUGGAAGGCCCAGCCUGAGUCUCGUCCCCUUUCCAGUGCUUCUGCCAGAAGCAGCCCCAUGAUGUUCUGUGACUGCACAGCACUUUGUGUCUUGCUCUGGGCACUUGCCGCUCUGGCUGGUGCUGCCGCCGCUGAUUGUGUACUGUGUCUUGCUGCCCUUUCUAGACUGUGAGCUCCUCGCGGGCAGGGACCGCCUGUGUUCUCUGUAUUUCCCACGGCGCCUAGCACAGUGCCUUGCACUUGAUAGGUGCUCAAUAAAUGUCUGCUCAAC
rnacentral:lncRNA from 1 species